rnacentral:rRNA from 1 species
UUUGGUUAAGUUAGAAAGGGCGCACGGUGGAAUGCCUGACACUAGAGUCGAUGAAAGGACGGGAAGGGGACUACGCGAUAUGCUUCGGGGAGGCUGUCAGUAGCUUGAUCCGAAGAUGUUCGGAAUGGGGAAAACCACAUACGUAUGGUAUGGUCUUUUAUCUAUACAUAGGGUAAAGGAAGAAGACCCAGGGAACUGAAACUCUAAGUACCUGGAGGAGAGAAAGCAAUGCGAUUUCCUGAGUAGCGGGAGCGAAACGGACAUAGCCAAACAAGAGGCUUGCUCUUGGGGUUGUAAGGACAUUAUAACGAGUUAACAAAGGACGAGGUAGAGAACGACUGGAAAGGUCCGUCGUAGAGGUAACAACUCCCGUAGUCGAAACUUCGUUCUCCUUGAAUGUAUCUGAGUACGGCGAACACGUGAAAUUCAUCGGUCUGGAGAGACGCAUCUCAGGCUAAAUACUCCUAGUGAGAUCGUGACCAGUAACGUCGAGGGAAAGGUGAAAAGACCCGGAAGGGGAGUGAAAGAGAUCUAAACCGUGUGCCUAAAAUAAGUCAGAGCCCGUUAAGUGGUGAUGCGUGACCUUUUGUGAAUGACAGGCGAGUUCGAUCCCGUGGAGGUUAUAGCUGAGGAGGCGGAGCGCAGCGAAGCGAGUACGAAUAGGGCGUUUUAGUACGUGGUCGUGACCCGAACAGGUGAUUACCCAUGUUCAGGGUGAAUUCAGGUAACACUGAAUGGAGGCCGACCACGCACUGUUGAAAGUGGGGAUGAGUGUGGGUAGCGGAGAAUUCUCAAUCGAACCUGGAGAUAGCUGGUUCUCCGAAAAUAGCUUUAGGGUAGCCUUAAGUGUAAGAGGGUCUUGGGAGGUAGAGCAUGUUGGACUAGGGGUCUCAUCGGAUUACCGAAUUCAGUCAAACUCGAUGCCAAUUUAUCUUAGGAAGUCAGAUGCGAGUGAUAAGAUACGUAAGUUCAAGGGCAAAGCCCAGACCGCAGUAAGGUUCCAAAGUGUGUAUUAAGUGGAAAAGGAAUGUGGAGUUUGGCUUAGACAACUAGAUGUUGGCUUAGAAGCAGCCACCAUUUAAAGAGUGGUAAUCGCUCACUAGUCGAGUGAUCUGCGCCGAAAAUGUACGGGCUAAACCACGAGCUGGGAUUGAUACCGAUGGUUCAGUGGUAGGGGAGGUUUCUAAGGCAGUGAAGUCAGACCGGAAGGACUGGUGGAGGUCUUAGAGUGAGAAUGCGGUAUGAGUAGCGAAAACGGGGUGAGAAUCCGUCCGAAUGCUAGGUUUCGCUGAAGGAGGCUCGUGCUCAGGGUUAGUCCGGAAUAAGCCGAGGGCGAACAGGCGUGCGAUGUGAAAGACAGGUUGAAUAUUCUGUACACUCUUUAUCGUUUGAGCAAUGGAGGGAAGCAGAGGAUAGAAGAAGCGUGGAUUGGUUGUGCACGUCCAGCAGUUAGGUGAAAUAGGGCAAAUGCUUAUAUAAAGGUGAGCUGUGAUGGGGAAGCUCCUUAUGGAGGCGAGUCUUUGAUUCCCGCUGCCCAGAAAGCUUCUAGCGGAGAUAAAGGUGCCUGUACGAAACCGACACAGGUAUGGCGAGAGAGAUGCUAAGGUGGUGCGAGAGGAAUCUGGUUUUAUAAAAAGGGGGACUCGGCAAAAUGACCGUAACUUCGGGAGAAGGGGUGGUUUUAACGGAAAGCGCGCAGUGAAUAGGGCAAGCGACUGUUUAAGCAAAACAGCUCUCUGCGAAGGCCGGUAAGGCUGAAGUAAGGGUGACACCUGCCCGGUGCUGGAAGGUUGAAGGAAGGGGUUUAAGCGUAAGCGAAGCUCUGAACUGAGCCCAGUAAACGGUCGGCGUAACUAUAAGGUCUAAGGUAGGAAAUUACUUGUCGGGUAUGUUCGACCGCACGAAAGGGUAACGAUUGGGCACUGUUAACCAGAGCUCGGUGAAAUUAUAGUACUGUGGAAGAUGCAGGUUACCCGCGACAGGAAGGAAAGAACCCCGUGGAGCUUUACUGUAGCCUGAUAUUGAAUUUUGGUACAGUUUGUACGGAUAGCGGGAGCCAUUGAAACCGGAGCGCUAGCUCGUGGAGGGCGCUGGUGGGAUACGCCUGAUGUAUUGAAUUCUAACCUACGGUCUUAUGACCCGGGAGACGUGUCAGGUGGGCAGUUUGACUGGGGCGGUGCCUCCUAAAGUGUAAACGGAGGCGCCAAAGGUUCCCUCAGAAUGGUUGGAAAUCAUUCGUGAGUGCAAAAGGCAUAAGGGAGCUUGACCUGCGAGACCUACAAGUCGAGCAGAGGACGAUAAGUCGGGUUAGUGUCCGUGGUUCCGCAUGGAGGGCCAUCGCUCAACGGAAUAAAAGCUACCCCGGGAUAAAGGCUUAUCUUCCACAAGAUCACAUCGACGGGGGGUUUGGACCUCGAUGUGUAUCGCAUCCUGGGGUGUAGUCGGUCCGCAAGGGUUUGGGCUGUUGCCAUUAAAGCGGUACGGAGCUGGGUUCAGAACGUCGUGAGACCAGUUCGGUCCCUUAUCCGUCGUGGGCGGUAGGAAAAUUUGAGAGGGGAGUGUCUUAGUAGAGAGAGGGAUGGACACCGCUGGUGUACAGUUGUUUGCAAGGGCAAUAGUGGUAGCUAUGGUGCGGAAGGGAUUAAGUGCUGAAAGCUCUAAAGCAUGAAGCCCGCCUCAAGAUGAGAAUUUCGCCAUAGCGUAAGCUAGUAAGAUCCCUGAAAGAUGAUCAAGGUUGAAUAGGUUCGAGGUGGAAGCAUGGUGAAUGUGGAGCUGACGAAUUAAUAGAUCGAGGACUUAACCAUAUAA